GUAAACGAUGCCAACUAGCGAUCCGCCGGUGGAUUUUUAGCCCUGGUGGGUAGCUUCCCGGAAACGAAAGUCUUCCGGUUCCGGGGGAAGUAUGGUUGCAAAGCUGAAACUUAAAGGAAUUGACGGAAGGGCACCACCAGGAGUGGAGCCUGCGGCUUAAUUUGACUCAACACGGGGAAACUCACCCGGCCCGGACACCGUAAGGAUUGACAGAUUGAUAGCUCUUUCAUGAUUCGGUGGUUGGUGGUGCAUGGCCGUUCUUAGUUCGUGGAUCGAUUUGUCUGGUUUAUUCCGAUAACGAGCGAGACUCUAGCCUACUAAAUAGUAACGAGAUUGCCAUUGUCUUAGUUGCUUCUUAGAGGGAUUUUCGGUGUUUACCCGCACGAGAUUGAGCAAUAACAGGUCUGUGAUGCCCUUAGAUGUCCCGGGCUGCACGCGCGCUACACU
rnacentral:rRNA from 1 species